UACAGAGGUCUCUAGCGUUGUUCGGAUUUACUGGGCGUAAAGGGCGCGUAGGCGGCCAUGCGUGUCGGAUGUGAAAUCUCCGGGCUCAACCCGGAAAGUGCGUCCGAAACUGCACGGCUCGAGUGCGGGAGGGGGAGUCGGAAUGCAGGGUGUAGCGGUGAAAUGCGUUGAUAUCCUGCAGAACACCGGAGGCGAAGGUGGACUCCUGGAACGCAACUGACGCUGAGGCGCGAGAGUCGGGGGAGCAAAC
rnacentral:rRNA from 1 species